rnacentral:rRNA from 1 species
AGAGUUUGAUCCUGGCUCAGAACGAACGCUGGCGGCAUGCCUAAUACAUGCAAGUCGAACGAGCCCUUCGGGGUUAGUGGCGCACGGGUGCGUAACGCGUGGGAAUCUGCCCUUGGGUUCGGAAUAACGUCUGGAAACGGACGCUAAUACCGGAUGAUGACGAAAGUCCAAAGAUUUAUCGCCCAGGGAUGAGCCCGCGUAGGAUUAGCUAGUUGGUGAGGUAAAGGCUCACCAAGGCGACGAUCCUUAGCUGGUCUGAGAGGAUGAUCAGCCACACUGGGACUGAGACACGGCCCAGACUCCUACGGGAGGCAGCAGUAGGGAAUAUUGGACAAUGGGGGCAACCCUGAUCCAGCAAUGCCGCGUGAGUGAUGAAGGCCUUAGGGUUGUAAAGCUCUUUUACCCGGGAUGAUAAUGACAGUACCGGGAAAAUAAGCCCCGGCUAACUCCGUGCCAGCAGCCGCGGUAAUACGGAGGGGGCUAGCGUUGUUCGGAAUUACUGGGCGUAAAGCGCACGUAGGCGGCGAUUUAAGUCAGAGGUGAAAGCCCGGGGCUNCACCCCGGAAUAGCCUUUGAGACUGGAUUGCUUGAACAUCGGAGAGGUGAGUGGAAUUCCGAGUGUAAAGGUGNAAAUCGUAGAUAUUCGGAAGAACACCAGUGGCGAAGGCGGCUCACUGGACGACUGUUGACGCU